rnacentral:rRNA from 1 species
UUGGAGGGCAAGUCUGGUGCCAGCAGCCGCGGUAAUUCCAGCUCCAAUAGCGUAUAUUAAAGUUGUUGCAGUUAAAAAGCUCGUAGUUGAAUUUCGGGGUCAGCAGGUUGGUCGUGCCAAUGGUAUGCACUGGCCUUGCUGAUUCCUCCCUCUUGAUGAGCCGUAAUGUCAUUAAUUUGGUGUUGCGGGGAAUCAGGACUGUUACUUUGAAAAAAUUAGAGUGUUUAAAGCAGGCAAGCGCUUGAAUACAUUAGCAUGGAAUAAUGAAAUAGGACGUUUGGUCCUAUUUUGUUGGUUUCUAGGAUUGACGUAAUGAUUAAUAGGGAUAGUUGGGGGCAUUAGUAUUCAAUUGUCAGAGGCGAAAUUCUUGGAUUUAUUGAGGACUAACUACUGCGAAAGCAUUUGCCAAGGAUGUUUUCAUUAAUCAAGAACGAAAGUUAGGGGAUCGAAGACGAUCAGAUACCGUCGUAGUCUUAACCAUAAACUAUGCCGACCAGGGAUCGGAUGAUGUUAAUUUUUUAAUGACUCAUUCGGCGCCUUACGGGAAAC